rnacentral:rRNA from 1 species
UGGGGAAUAUUGCACAAUGGUGGGAACUCUGAUGCAGCGACGCCGCGUGAGUGAUGAAGGAAUUCGUUUCGUAAAACUCUGUUCUAUGGGAAGAAAAGGACUGUACCAUAGGAGAAAGCUCCGGCUAAAUACGUGCCAGCAGCCGCGGUAAUACGUAUGGAGCGAGCGUUGUCCGGAAUUAUUGGGCGUAAAGGGUGCGCAGGCGGCUUUACAAGUUGGAUGUGAAAUAUUGUGGCUCAACCACAAACGUGCAUCCAAAACUGCAAAGCUUGAGUUAAGGAGAGGUAAGUGGAAUUCCUGGUGUAGCGGUGGAAUGCGUAGAUAUCAGGAGGAAUACCGGUGGCGAAGGCGACAUACUGGACUUAAACUGACGCUCAGGCACGAAAGCGUGGGGAGCAAACAGG